rnacentral:rRNA from 1 species
UACGAAGGGGGCUAGCGUUGUUCGGAAUCACUGGGCGUAAAGGGCGCGUAGGCGGCCGAUCAAGUCGGGGGUGAAAGCCUGUGGCUCAACCACAGAAUUGCCUUCGAUACUGUUUGGCUUGAGACCGGAAGAGGUAAGUGGAACUGCGAGUGUAGAGGUGAAAUUCGUAGAUAUUCGCAAGAACACCAGUGGCGAAGGCGGCUUACUGGUCCGGUUCUGACGCUGAGGCGCGAAAGCUAGGGGAGCGAACGGG